AGAAAAUCAACUGAAAAGUAAAACUCAUCUACCUUGACCAAGACAUCCUCAAGCAUUCCAUGUGGUUCCUUAAUUGAUCUGUCGACUAACUGUAGUGUGACUGAUGUGGGUUUCAGUUCUCUGAAUCCAAAAAGUUCAUACACCGAACUAGGUAAAAGAUUCACUCUUGCCCCUAAAUCCAAAAGAGCUUUUUCAAUGUGAUAAUCUCCUAUAACACAGGAAAUGAUGGGGGCUUCUAGGUCCUUAAGCUUUGGAGGAGUGGCAUGCUGGAAGACAGAACUAGCCUAUUCAGUGAGGCAUACUUUCUUUGGGAUUUAUGAUCUAGAUUUAUGUUUUUGGGUGCACAAAUCCUUAAAAAAUUUAGCAUAAGCAGGGACCUGUUUGAUUGCGUCUAGAAGGGGAAGAUUAAUUUGGACUUGCUUAAACAAUUCCAACAUCUCAUCGAGUUUUUCUUCCUUCUUAUCUGUAGGAAUAGGGGCUUUCAGG
rnacentral:lncRNA from 1 species